GACCUUCCUUCCCCGCCUCCAGCCGGCGCCCCCAGCGCGUCCGGAGGCGCCACCCCCGCCUCCAGCGCGGUCCUAGCUCCUCCUCUCCCAAUCCUGUCGCGGAGGGGUCGAGACUAGCCCAGAGAAGCAAGUCUCUUUAAGGUCUUCAACAGUUCCUAAGAGUCCCUGAGAGGAAAAAGUUUGAGAACUGCUGCCUUACUACUUCUUAAGAAGUAUUAUUAUACUUUACAACAGAGGAAACUGAGACACAGAGAAGUCAAAUCACUUGCCCGAGGUCAAACAAGCUGAUCUGGAAUUCUGGAGCAGUUUGGCUGAGCAGUCCUGAUAUGGGAUCUCUCAGGAGACUGCAGUCAAGAUAUCAGCAGGGGCUGCAACAUUAUCUGAAUGCUUGACUGGGGCUGGAGGAGCCACUUCCAAGAUGGUGCCCUCACGUGGCUAUCAAUAAGAGGCCUGAGUUUCUCUCCCCUGUGGGACUGUCUCCCAGAGCUGCUUGAGUGUCUGUAUGACAUGGUAGCUGGCUUCCCUCAGAGAAGUGUCAAGAGAACACUGAAGCAACAAUUCCUUUUAUGACCUAGCUUCAGAAGUCAUAGUCAUCUCUGCCACAUUCUCUUAGAGGUCAGUCACUAAGUUCUGCCUCUCAUUCCAGAGGAGGGCAAUUAGGCUCCAAUUUUUUUUUUUUUUUUUUGGCUGCUGUAGCAUAUGGGAAUCAAACCCAUGGCCCCUGCAGUGGAAGCGUGGAGCCCCAACCACUGGACCACCAGGGAAUUCUCUAGAUUCCACCUUUUAAAGGUGGGAAGAUCACAGAACUCCUGGAUAUAUUUUGAAACCAUCACAACAGGCAAUGAUAGAGCUGAGGAGUCAAACAAGAUUGUGAGACAAAGGCAUAGAUUAUCAACAGUAGAAAGAUAUUAAUCCACUUAGGACUAGAGAAAGGAAGGGAGGAAGUAGGACUAUCAGAGCCCAGGAGCCAGGACCAUCCAGUAGAAACUGGACUUUCAGAGGAUCUGGAGCCUCGAACGUGCAGUCACUGGCAGAGAUGCUUCCCAAAGCAGCAAGGGAGACAAAUGCUCUGGCUUCUUCCUUCCUCUGCCCUCCAAUCUUCCACAAGUGCCUGCGACUGGCUGAACCUACCAGGAAGCAGAGUGAAAGGGAGCCUGGGAAACAGAUUUCCUUGUGAUACAAAGGUGGGCAGAGAGGGCCAGGAUGGGUGUGAGAUGAAGGUCCUAGCACGGCAUCUCCCAGGACGGCUUAUUUGAUUAGGUGGUGACAUUAUGGUUAAACUUGUCUUGAAUUUUCACUUUUAUAUCAACAUUGUUCUUCAUAAAGUAACAUUUACAAACUGAAAAUGAAAAAAAGAAAAGAAAAAUGAAGAAAA